rnacentral:rRNA from 1 species
GAGCGCGUAAGGCCUUUCGGGGUACACGAGAGGCGAACGGGUGAGUAACACGUGGGUGAUCUGCCCUGCACUCUGGGAUAAGCUUGGGAAACUGGGUCUAAUACCGGAUAUGACCGCAGGGCGCAUGUGUUGUGGUGGAAAGAUUUAUCGGUGCAGGAUGGGCCCGCGGCCUAUCAGCUUGUUGGUGGGGUAAUGGCCUACCAAGGCGACGACGGGUAGCCGACCUGAGAGGGUGACCGGCCACACUGGGACUGAGACACGGCCCAGACUCCUACGGGAGGCAGCAGUGGGGAAUAUUGCACAAUGGGCGGAAGCCUGAUGCAGCGACGCCGCGUGAGGGAUGAAGGCCUUCGGGUUGUAAACCUCUUUCAGCAGGGACGAAGCGUGAGUGACGGUACCUGCAGAAGAAGCACCGGCUAACUACGUGCCAGCAGCCGCGGUAAUACGUAGGGUGCGAGCGUUGUCCGGAAUUACUGGGCGUAAAGAGUUCGUAGGCGGUUUGUCGCGUCGUUUGUGAAAACCCGGGGCUCAACUUCGGGCUUGCAGGCGAUACGGGCAGACUUGAGUGUUUCAGGGGAGACUGGAAUUCCUGGUGUAGCGGUGAAAUGCGCAGAUAUCAGGAGGAACACCGGUGGCGAAGGCGGGUCUCUGGGAAACAACUGACGCUGAGGAACGAAAGCGUGGGUAGCAAACAGGAUUAGAUACCCUGGUAGUCCACGCCGUAAACGGUGGGCGCUAGGUGUGGGUUCCUUCCACGGGAUCUGUGCCGUAGCUAACGCAUUAAGCGCCCCGCCUGGGGAGUACGGCCGCAAGGCUAAAACUCAAAGGAAUUGACGGGGGCCCGCCCAAGCGGCGGAGCAUGUGGAUUAAUUCGAUGCAACGCGAAGAACCUUACCUGGGUUUGACAUACACCGGAAAACCGUAGAGAUACGGUCCCCCUUGUGGUCGGUGUACAGGUGGUGCAUGGCUGUCGUCAGCUCGUGUCGUGAGAUGUUGGGUUAAGUCCCGCAACGAGCGCAACCCUUGUCUUAUGUUGCCAGCGCGUUAUGGCGGGGACUCGUAAGAGACUGCCGGGGUCAACUCGGAGGAAGGUGGGGACGACGUCAAGUCAUCAUGCCCCUUAUGUCCAGGGCUUCACACAUGCUACAAUGGCCAGUACAGAGGGCUGCGAGACCGUGAGGUGGAGCGAAUCCCUUAAAGCUGGUCUCAGUUCGGAUCGGGGUCUGCAACUCGACCCCGUGAAGUCGGAGUCGCUAGUAAUCGCAGAUCAGCAACGUUGCGGUGAAUACGUUCCCGGGCCUUGUACACACCGCCCGUCUCGUCAUGAAAGUCGGUACCCCCCGAAGCCGGUGGCCUACCCUAUAAGUCGACACAGCCUCCCAAGAGGGGUU